rnacentral:lncRNA from 1 species
UUAGGGGAUAAGGUAGGGCUAGGGGGUUAGGGUUAAGGUUGUUAGUGUUAGGGGUGUUAGGGUAUUGUUAGGGGGCUAGGAGGUUAGGGUUAAGGUUAAUAGUUGGGUUAAUUAUUAGGGUUGUUAGGGUUAGGGUUGAGUUUGCUGUUAUGGUUUAGGGUUGGGGGUUUAGUGUUAGGGUUAGAGAGAAGAAAUGAAAGCAAAAAAGAUGGUGUGAAUUUGAGUAAGUAGGAGGAGUUUGGGGGAAAGGGAGGAAUGAGAAUGAGAUAAAUAUAGUAUUCACAUAUAAAAUUCUCAAAACAAUUUAAUAAAAAAAUCAUGGUGAAAUAUCUCAAAGCUAAUAACCUGGAGAGUAAGGAGAGUUAUUACCACACACAUUAAUAAAAUUUAGAAAAAUUGCUAGGUCUUACCUUAAAAAUCAAAUAUUCCAAUUGUACUGGCUACUUUUGUGUGUCAACUUGACACAGGCUGGAGUUAUCACAAAGAAAGGAGCUUCAGCUGGGGAAAUGCCUCCACGAGAUCCAGCUGUAGGGCAUUUUCUCAAUUAGUGAUCAAGAGGGGAGAUCCCCUUGUGGGUGGUGCCAUCUCUGGGCUGGUAGUCUUGGUUCUAUAAGAGAGCAGGCUGAGCAAGCCAGGGGAAGCAAGCCAGUAAAGAACAUCCCUCCAUGGCUUCUGUGUCAGCUCCUGCUUUCUGACCUGCUUGAGUUUCCAGUCCUGACUUCCUUGGUGAUGAACAGAAGUGUGGAAGUGUAAGCUGAAUAAACCCUUUCCUCCCCAAACUGCUUCUUGGUCUGAUGUUUGUGCAGGAAUAGAAACCCUGACUAAGACACCAAUGAAUUGGAAAACUCUGAAAACAUAGAUUUCUAGAUGUAUAGUACUUACGAAAAGUAAAUUAUGAAGAUAUUUUUAAAAUUUAGCAGCUUUGUAGAAAGCAAUAAAAGUGAAGCAGUAAUCAAAUAUCUACUAAUUUAAAAAUUACCAGACUUAAUGAAAUACUAACACAAAUGCUUCUCAAACUAUUCUACUAAAUAGCAAAGGAAGGCUAUAUUAUCAAACUCUUUAUGAAACUAGUAUUAGCCUGAUACUAAAACAAGGUAAAAAAACAAAAUAAAAAAUUACUGACCAAUGUCCAAAACAAGUAUACAUAUAUGCAAAAUUUCUUUAAAAAAUACUUGCAAACUUGAUUCAAUAAUAUCUCAAAAAGUCACUUAACAUGAUUAAGCUGGUCUAUUCCAGAGAUGUAGUGCUGGUUCAAUAUGUCAAUCAACACACAAGGGAAAAAGACUCAUAAUUUUCAAAUUCUUUUUAAUACUACAACUAAGUGCUUUAGUUUAGAAAUGGUUAACAUAUUUCAAAAAAAGACUUCUAUGGGCUUUAGUGAGUGUCCCCUAAGAAAUGGGUAGUCCUAUUAAAGUCAUAGGCUCAUGGAUUUAUGUCAACAUUUUACAGUUCCUGUCUGCAUAAAAUAUAUUCUAGUAAUAAAAUGUAUGUCAUUAUCAGGUAAGUAUUUGCAACUGAGUCAUGUUUUGGCUGUAAAAUAAGCAAUAAAUUUAAGAAUUAAGGAUCUCGUUGUAGCCAGGUGAUGUGGCACGUCUUUAAUCCCAGCAGUCCAGAAGCAGAGGCAGGUGGAUGUCUCUGAGUUUGAGGCCACCAUGAUCUACAAAGCGAGUUUCAGUAAGUCAAGGCUACACAGUGAAAUCCUGCCUUGGAAAAAAAAUCCUGGUGCAAUAAAGUGUUUAAUCAGGGACAGCAAGUGGCUCAGCUAAAGCCAUUUGCCACCAAGUCUAAUGACCCGAGUUCAAUUCGUGGGACACAUAUGGUGAAAGGAGAGAACUAACUUCCUCAAGUCAUCUUCUGGUUUCAACAUGGACUUCUGAGGUUUACACACACACACACACACACACACACACACACACACAGAGAGAGAGAGAGAGAGAUGCACAUACAAGUGCAAUUAAAAUGGAGCAUAGAUCCAUAGAUAUAUGAAAUGGCUAACAAAACACAUAAAAUAAAGAGAAGAGAAUAGCAAGGAGUGAAUAAAAGCAAUGUUUGAAGAAACAAUUCAUGAGUCAUAUAUAAAGAAAACUAAAUGAGCUGCUUUUGUCAGAGAAAUAACAAAACAUCAAAUACAAAGAGAAAUUUCCAGGAGCUUCAAAUUAGGGGGAAAAAAGACAGCUUCUUUAUAAAAAGGCUCCAAGUAACUAUAUCUAUUACACACUAUGGAAAGCAGAAUAUAAUGGACACCUAAGGAAAGAAUGACAGCCAACCUGAAUGUGUUUGUUGGCAGGCAAUCAUUCGCUUGCCUUUUUACCUUCUGUCUCUUUUACUCUCUACUUUAUUUUAGUAAUAUUUUUAUUUUACCUUACUCAGCAGGGAUUUGUCCAGUUUUUAUUUUUUUUUUUAAUAUACCCACAUUUGGGGGCUGGAGAAAUGACUAAAAAAUUAAGAGCAGUUGCUGAUCUUUUAGAGGGCCUGUGUUCUGUUCUCAGCACCCAAGUCAAGAAGCUCAAUAGUCUGUCCUUGUGAUGAUCGACAAUGACCACAUCUGUGUCUGCUAUGAGAAGACAAUGUUGCUUUUCCUCUCCUAAAGUUUACUCAUCAGGAAGAAGCAUCGAAUGUCAAAUCACUACAAAGAUUCACAAUGUAGAAUGUGAUCACAGGUAAAUUAUUUUGGACAUUUAACUCUAAAAACACCUCUAGUAAUGUCAGUUUAGGGUGCUAACAGAGGCCACUUAAAUCAUUUAAAAACUAUAAAAGGAAAUCCACUUGAGAAAGGAUUAAUAAUGAGUAUAAGGACUUCACAUUGGAACUGUUGAAAGUCACUGUACACCGACUUUAAACACCAAUUAAGAAAGGGGUAAUUGUUCAAAUUCUGAAGCUUAUGAUAGGAUUAAUGAAAGAAAUCAUCUUUCUUAGUCAAUCAUAAGGUAGCAGCUUAUUUGAGCUUAUUUUCCAGUCAAUGGAAGUUUGUAAUUUGAACUCGUUUUCUAGUUGGCAUGGCCACAGCCUUCAAUAGAGGUCAGACACAAAAGUCAUGGACUUUAGAAUGCUUUUAAGAGGCUCAACAUUGACAGUAGAAAUUAUAAAAAUACCUUUUGCCAAUAGUCACAUGAAAAGUUAAUAUAAAACUGGAAACAAAAGUAGAAGAGUUAAUAUUAUUGAGUGAAUACAGCACUGCAUGUGCUUUAUGAUACAGCGUAGCUUAAUCAAUAAAUAUGUUUAUUAAUAUUGUUGAGUUAAAUGUUACAAAAUACAGUAACUUUAAAAUAUUUAUUUACUUGUGUGGGUGGGUGUACCUACUUGCACACAUGCGAGUACUAUGGUGCACAUGUAGAGACAAGAGGACAACAUUCAGAAGUUAGUUCUCUUCUUCCACCAUAUCUAUUCUGGGGCAAGAACUCAGAUCAUCAACCCACUGAGACAUUUCACUGGCCCUAAAUAAAUUCUUUAAAUUUAUAUUUAUAUCCCUCAAAGUUUCGAUACUCAAGUUGACUAGAAAACAAAACAAAAGAUACUAUUUUAGUUCAUUUUCUGUAAUUAUAACCACAUGCCACAGCCUAAGUAAUAUUUUAAAGAAAAUAGAUUUGUUGGGCUCAUGACUGUGGAGACUGGGAGUUUAAAGAACACACUAACAGUAUCUGAUCAGGGCCCUCUUGCUACAUCAUAACAUGAUGAGGGCAUCACCUAGUGAGGCAGAGCAAAUGUGAUAAUGAGGUUUCUCUACUUGUCCCUAUGAAGCCAUUUGUGCCAUCAUAGGGAUUCUAUUCAUGAUCAUAUCUAAACUCAAGUUACUGGGCAGGUAUUGAAACCCCUGGGCAAAGGCUGGAGAGCUAGCUCAGCAGUUAAGAGCACUGAUUGUUCUUCUAGAGGUCCUGAGUUAAUUUCCAGCUCCCACUUGGUGGCUCACAACCAUCUGUAAUGUAAUCUGAUGCCUUCUUCUGGUGUGUCUGAAGACAAUGGCAGUGUACAAACAUACAUAAAAUAAAUAAAAUCUUUAAAAAGAAGAAAGCACUGAGCAAAAGCUCUGAUUCUUAGCACACAGUAAUAGAUAUUUUAUUGCUUUGAAUAGAAAAAAAUCUUGCUUCAUCAGACCACAAAUAGGCUGACCUAUGACUAGCAGGAGAAAUGAAUCCCACCUUUCUCCUUGUGUCCUCCCUUGAAAAGUACUACUGCACUGUAAGUAAUGGGUACUUGCUGUGCACAGAAGGGGAGAGAUUGGUCAGGUUUAUGUUAGAUGCUGUUUAAUGUACUUUUUGUAGGUGGCCUCCCAACAGAUGUUUUCAGAAAGAAGUUAAAAAGCAGAGAGCAAUGAAAGGUAUUGUCUCUGGGUUUUGCUUUCUUUUUCAUCUGGAUACCUCUUGUUAUAGAACAGGCUAACUAAAAGACAAGAUGGGAGGGCUCUUGGUGAUCACUGUUUGACCCUGUGACACCUCCCUGACACUGACCAUGUGUAACCAUACAUGGGCCAGACUCAUCUGUAUUAAUGAAUCUUCCCCUAGAUUCUGAUUAUCACCUUGACAAUUUCUGUAAGGUGUAGUUAACAGUCAGCAUAAAGUCAGUUCUCUGUAUACAUGGGACCUUGAUUCCAG